GGUAGUUUUCUUUUUGCAAAAUUAUAGCAAUAAUUCUACUAAUCCUGCUAAUAUUUCUGUCUAGAUGAAACCAUGGUGCUAAACUAUGGGGUCAGUCAUAGAGACCAGCUGUCUAAACUCUAAAGCAUUAGUUGUAGAAAAGAGGAUAAAAUUUAGCUUGUUCUGGGGCAUUUGUUUGGAUAGAGUUCAUCUCGGCCAUGGAAUUGACAUCUAGGUUCUCCGAUUUUUAUAGAUAGGUACGUAUUUGAAGAUGUGUUGGGUUCCUCGAUGGCCCCUUCCCAUUAUUUCCAUUUUCCCCUCAAUGCGAAUCAGUUCCCAUUUCCAUCGACCACUUGUGGAAUGUGAUUAUUAUUGUCAUUAUUAUUAUUUAAGUUUCUUUUAAGUAAACACAACCUUUCAUUGACAUAAUCUAAAGAGUCUGAAGUACAAAAUCCAAUAAAAAAAA